rnacentral:rRNA from 1 species
UACAGAGGUCCCGAGCGUUGUUCGGAUUUAUUGGGCGUAAAGGGCGCGUAGGCGGCGGAGUAAGUUGGGUGUGAAAUCCCGGGGCUUAACCUCGGAAUUGCAUUCAAUACUGCUUCGCUCGAGUACUGGAGAGGAGGCUGGAAUUUACGGUGUAGCAGUGAAAUGCGUAGAUAUCGUAAGGAAGGCCGGUGGCGAAAGCGAGCCUCUGGACAGUUACUGACGCUGAUGCACGAAGGCCAGGGGAGCAAACGGG